UAGAUACCCUGUUAUACUAAAAUUAAAGUAAUAAUAAUCUUGAGUAGUAGUAAUUAAUUAGUUUGAAAUUCAAAGAGUUUGGCGGUAUUUUAGUCUAGUUAGAGGAACCUGUUUUGUAAACGAUACACCGCGUAAAAUUUUUCUCAUUCUGGUUGAAGCUAGUAUACCAUCAUUGUUAGAUAAUUUUAUUUAAUAAAGAAAUUAUUGUAAUUAAGAAAAUUUAAAUAUAUUAGAUCACGGUGCUGCUAAUGAGUGAGUAUAAAUGGGUUACAAUAAUUUUAAUUUAUUACGAAUUCAUAAAUGAAAUAUUAUGAUAAAGGUGGAUUUAAUAGUAAUAUAAAUUUAAUAUGUUUAUGUGAGAUUAGCUCUAGAAUAUGUACAUAUCCCCCCGUCGCACG
rnacentral:rRNA from 1 species